rfam:Gossypium hirsutum cultivar TM-1 chromosome 26, whole genome shotgun sequence
UGUUAAAGAUUUCAUCCAUUUUUACUGUUAAAGCCAGACAUGAUUGAUGGAAUAAGCAGACAGUUACCUCAUGUUGAUGUAUAUGGAGCAGUUUUUAACAAUAAAAAUGGAUGAAAUUUUAACA